rnacentral:rRNA from 1 species
GACAGAGGUGCCGAGCGUUAGGCGGAAUCACUGGGCUUAAAGCGUGUGUAGGCGGGCGGGCAAGUACCUUGUGAAAGACAACAGCUCAACUGUUGCAGUGCCAUUGAUACUGAAGAGCUUGAGUACAGAUGAGGUAGGCGGAAUUUAUGGUGUAGCGGUGAAAUGCAUAGAUACCAUAAAGAACACCUAUUGCGAAGGCAGCUUACUAAGCUGUAACUGACGCUGAGGCACGAAAGUGUGGGGAUCAAACAGG